rnacentral:rRNA from 1 species
GACGAACGCUGGCGGCGUGCUUAACACAUGCAAGUCGAGCGAGAACCACGGGUGGGGUAACCCACCUGUGAGGACAGCGGCGAACGGGUGCGUAACACGUGGGCAACCUGCCCCAGACUCUGGGAUAACCCCGGGAAACCGGAGCUAAUACCGGAUACUCUCGGCCGGCCACAUGGUCGGCUGAGGAAAGGUCCGCCGGUCUGGGAUGGCCCGCGGCCUAUCAGCUUGUUGGUGGGGUAACGGCCUACCAAGGCGACGACGGGUAGCUGGUCUGAGAGGACGGCCAGCCACACUGGAACUGAGACACGGUCCAGACUCCUACGGGAGGCAGCAGUGGGGAAUCUUGCGCAAUGGGCGAAAGCCUGACGCAGCGACGCCGCGUGGGGAGUGAAGG